GACGAACGCUGGCGGGCGUGCCUAAUACAUGCAAGUAGAACGCUGAAGAGAGGAGCUUGCUCUUCUUGGAUGAGUUGCGAACGGGUGAGUAACGCGUAGGUAACCUGCCUUGUAGCGGGGGAUAACUAUUGGAAACGAUAGCUAAUACCGCAUAACAAUGGAUGACCCAUGUCAUUUAUUUGAAAGGGGCAAAUGCUCCACUACAAGAUGGACCUGCGUUGUAUUAGCUAGUAGGUGAGGUAACGGCUCACCUAGGCGACGAUACAUAGCCGACCUGAGAGGGUGAUCGGCCACACUGGGACUGAGACACGGCCCAGACUCCUACGGGAGGCAGCAGUAGGGAAUCUUCGGCAAUGGGGGCAACCCUGACCGAGCAACGCCGCGUGAGUGAAGAAGGUUUUCGGAUCGUAAAGCUCUGUUGUAAGUCAAGAACGAGUGUGAGAGUGGAAAGUUCACACUGUGACGGUAGCUUACCAGAAAGGGACGGCUAACUACGUGCCAGCAGCCGCGGUAAUACGUAGGUCCCGAGCGUUGUCCGGAUUUAUUGGGCGUAAAGCGAGCGCAGGCGGUUUGAUAAGUCUGAAGUUAAAGGCUGUGGCUCAACCAUAGUUCGCUUUGGAAACUGUCAAACUUGAGUGCAGAAGGGGAGAGUGGAAUUCCAUGUGUAGCGGUGAAAUGCGUAGAUAUAUGGAGGAACACCGGUGGCGAAAGCGGCUCUCUGGUCUGUAACUGACGCUGAGGCUCGAAAGCGUGGGGAGCGAACAGG
rnacentral:rRNA from 1 species